AAGUGCGGGGAUGAGGUGUGGGUAGCGGAGAAAUUCCAAUCGAACUUGGAGAUAGCUGGUUCUCUCCGAAAUAGCUUUAGGGCUAGCCUCGAGGUAAAGAGUCAUGGAGGUAGAGCACUGUUUGGACUAGGGGCCCUUCUCGGGUUACCGAAUUCAGAUAAACUCCGAAUGCCAUGUACUUAUACUCGGGAGUCAGACUGCGAGUGAUAAGAUCCGUAGUCGAAAGGGAAACAGCCCAGACCACCAGUUAAGGUCCCCAAAUAUAUGUUAAGUGGAAAAGGAUGUGGGGUUGCUUAGACAACCAGGAUGUUGGCUUAGAAGCAGCCACCAUUGAAAGAGUGCGUAAUAGCUCACUGGUCGAGUGACCCCGCGCCGAAAAUGUACCGGGGCUAAACAUAUUACCGAAACUGUGGAUGAACCUCUUCGGAGGUUCGUGGUAGGAGAGCGUUCUAAGGGCGGUGAAGUCAGACCGGAAGGACUGGUGGAGCGCUUAGAAGUGAGAAUGCCGGUAUGAGUAGCGAAAGAAGGGUGAGAAUCCCUUCCACCGAAUAUCUAAGGUUUCCUGAGGAAGGCUCGUCCGCUCAGGGUUAGUCGGGACCUAAGCCGAGGCCGAUAGGCGUAGGCGAUGGACAACAGGUAGAGAUUCCUGUACCAGUGCUAAUUGUUUAACCGAUGGGGUGACACAGAAGGAUAGGGAAUCGCACGAAUGGAAAUGUGCGUCCAAGCAGUGAGUGUGAGAAGUAGGCAAAUCCGCUUCUUGCGAAGCAUGAGCUGUGAUGGGGAAGGAAAUUAAGUACGGAAGUUCCUGAUUUCACGCUGUCAAGAAAAGCCUCUAGGAAGAGUAGUACUGCCCGUACCGCAAACCGACACAGGUAGAUGAGGAGAGAAUCCUAAGGUGAGCGAGAGAACUCUCGUUAAGGAACUCGGCAAAAUGACCCCGUAACUUCGGGAGAAGGGGUGCUCUAUUAGGGUGCAAGCCCGAGAGAGCCGCAGUGAAUAGGCCCAGGCGACUGUUUAGCAAAAACACAGGUCUCUGCAAAACCGUAAGGUGACGUAUAGGGGCUGACGCCUGCCCGGUGCUGGAAGGUUAAGAGGAGUGCUUAGCUUCGGCGAAGGUACGAAUUGAAGCCCCAGUAAACGGCGGCCGUAACUAUAACGGUCCUAAGGUAGCGAAAUUCCUUGUCGGGUAAGUUCCGACCCGCACGAAAGGCGCAACGAUCUGGGCACUGUCUCAACGAGAGACUCGGUGAAAUUAUAGUACCUGUGAAGAUGCAGGUUACCCGCGACAGGACGGAAAGACCCCGUGGAGCUUUACUGCAACCUGAUAUGGAAUGUUUGUACCGCUUGUACAGGAUAGGUAGGAGCCGAAGAGACGUGUGCGCUAGCAUACGAGGAGGCAAUGGUGGGAUACUACCCUGGCUGUAUGACCAUUCUAACCCGCCACGCUAAGCGCGUGGGGAGACAGUGUCAGGUGGGCAGUUUGACUGGGGCGGUCGCCUCCUAAAGAGUAACGGAGGCGCCCAAAGGUUCCCUCAGAAUGGAUGGAAAUCAUUCGCAGAGUGUAAAGGCACAAGGGAGCUUGACUGCGAGACUGACAAGUCGAGCAGGGACGAAAGUCGGGCUUAGUGAUCCGGUGGUUCCGCAUGGAAGGGCCAUCGCUCAACGGAUAAAAGCUACCCCGGGGAUAACAGGCUUAUCUCCCCCAAGAGUCCACAUCGACGGGGAGGUUUGGCACCUCGAUGUCGGCUCGUCGCAUCCUGGGGCUGUAGUCGGUCCCAAGGGUUGGGCUGUUCGCCCAUUAAAGCGGCACGCGAGCUGGGUUCAGAACGUCGUGAGACAGUUCGGUCCCUAUCCGUCGCGGGCGCAGGAAAUUUGAGAGGAGCUGUCCUUAGUACGAGAGGACCGGGAUGGACACACCGCUGGUGUAC
rnacentral:rRNA from 1 species